GAUACGAUAUGAUACGAUACGAUACUCUCCACUUUAUUUAAUUUGACUUUUCUUGCACAUGUUACACUGUCCAUAUAACGUCCAGCGAGGUGAAACAGGACUAAUGUUUAGUCUAUAGGUUGUUUUUUCCACCAUGUCAACAAAAAAUAUAAGACUCCUUUUGAAGUUGGUUUUGCUAAAGCAUCAUAUUUACUCCCAUUAAUUUCCAAGCAGCAAAAAAAAAAACACCUGCAGUUUUUCUAUUAAAGAUGUAAACAUGACGCCAAUAUUCAGGAUGUGACUUUUUGGAUUAACUGGAAACGCGUCCUGGUCUGUUUCUGUUGGAGGUUUCUUUCUUGUUAGAACGUUUUGUUUUAGAAGUGCUUGUUCAUUACGGGAACAAUUCUAAGAUCUCAUGUAAAGUGCCUAUAUCGUGUGUACAGAGUCAGAAGAGGUACUGAAGCAGUUCCUCUGAAACGCCUCACCGAUGAUGGAGCGGGCUAUUAAAAGGCCGUGAUACUCAGCAAACCAAACAAAUUUGUCUCAGUUUGGGACUAAAAAUAUCCUUUUGUGGUUUUUCUUUUCACGGUUCAGGAAACAACUGUCAGACAAUCAGCUGCGUGACGCAACUCCUCAGGAACGCCGGGCGAGAAACCCACAGGAAUGUUUCAAAUUCCUGCAGGGAAGUUUUGCUGACGUCACUCUUUCACUGUGAAGUCAAUGUACACGAUGCUGAUGAUGUGAUGAACAUGAACAAGACAGAUGAAGUGUAAUGGAAAAUGUGAUUGUACCUCCGAAGCACCAAAUACCAUCUGUACCCAUAAAGACGGGUUUACGUCCUAUCAGAGGAAUUGUACUGUAACUAUGAGAUUACCACUUGUAAAAAGCAUUCUUUCAUGACAUCAUCCGAGUUGAAAUUGGAAACUCAGAUUUUUGUAAAAGCUCCAAGAAAAUCAGAUUUUAUAUGUUAACACAA